rnacentral:rRNA from 1 species
AGAGUUUGAUCAUGGCUCAGAUUGAACGCUGGCGGAAUGCUUUACACAUGCAAGUCGAACGGUAGAGGGGGCAACCCCUCGAGAGUGGCGAACGGGUGAGUAAUAUAUCGGAACGUGCCCAGUCGUGGGGGAUAACGUAGCGAAAGUUACGCUAAUACCGCAUACGAUCUACGGAUGAAAGCGGGGGAUCGCAAGACCUCGCGCGAUUGGAGCGGCCGAUAUCAGAUUAGGUAGUUGGUGGGGUAAAGGCUCACCAAGCCAACGAUCUGUAGCUGGUCUGAGAGGACGACCAGCCACACUGGAACUGAGACACGGUCCAGACUCCUACGGGGGGCAGCAGUGGGGAAUUUUGGACAAUGGACGCAAGUCUGAUCCAGCCAUUCCGCGUGCAGGAUGAAGGCCCUCGGGUUGUAAACUGCUUUUGUACGGAACGAAAAGGUUUCUAUUAAUACUAGGAGCUCAUGACGGUACCGUAAGAAUAAGCACCGGCUAACUACGUGCCAGCAGCCGCGGUAAUACGUAGGGUGCAAGCGUUAAUCGGAAUUACUGGGCGUAAAGCGUGCGCAGGCGGUUAUGUAAGACAGAGGUGAAAUCCCCGGGCUCAACCUGGGAACUGCCUUUGUGACUGCAUAGCUAGAGUACGGUAGAGGGGGAUGGAAUUCCGCGUGUAGCAGUGAAAUGCGUAGAUAUGCGGAGGAACACCGAUGGCGAAAGCAAUCCCCUGGACCUGUACUGACGCUCAUGCACGAAAGCGUGGGGAGCAAACAGGAUUAGAUACCCUGGUAGUCCACGCCCUAAACGAUGUCAACUGGUUGUUGGGUCUUCACUGACUCAGUAACGAAGCUAACG